AGUGAACGCUGGCGGUAGGCCUAACACAUGCAAGUCGAACGGCAGCACAGUAAGAGCUUGCUCUUACGGGUGGCGAGUGGCGGACGGGUGAGGAAUACAUCGGAAUCUACUUUUUCGUGGGGGAUAACGUAGGGAAACUUACGCUAAUACCGCAUACGACCUACGGGUGAAAGCAGGGGAUCUUCGGACCUUGCGCGAUUGAAUGAGCCGAUGUCGGAUUAGCUAGUUGGCGGGGUAAAGGCCCACCAAGGCGACGAUCCGUAGCUGGUCUGUGAGGAUGAUCGGCCACACUGGAACUUAGACACGGUCCAGACUCCUACGGGAGGCAUCAGUGGGGAAUAUUGGACAAUGGGCGCAAGCCUGAUCCAGCCAUACCGCGUGGGUGAAGAAGGCCUUCGGGUUGUAAAGCCCUUUUGUUGGGAAAGAAAAGCAGCAGGUUAAUACCCCGCUGUUCUGACGGUACCCAAAGAAUAAGCACCGGCUAACUUCGUG
rnacentral:rRNA from 1 species